UACGUAGGGUGCGAGCGUUGUCCGGAAUUAUUGGGCGUAAAGAGCUUGUAGGCGGUUUGUCGCGUCUGCUGUGAAAGCCCGGGGCUUAACUCCGGGUCUGCAGUGGGUACGGGCAGGCUAGAGUGUGGUAGGGGAGACUGGAAUUCCUGGUGUAGCGGUGGAAUGCGCAGAUAUCAGGAGGAACACCGGUGGCGAAGGCGGGUCUCUGGGCCGUUACUGACGCUGAGGAGCGAAAGCGUGGGGAGCGAACAGG
rnacentral:rRNA from 1 species